UUUAGCAUGAUCUUGCUCACAUAUACAAUGCUGCUGCUAACAGCCAACGCGGCAUGCCUGCUGUCAUGAAAAUAAAAAUAAAUCGAAAGUUUAAUUUCUAAUUAUGGAACGGCCAACACAUCAUAUUAACCUCUCGCUCUGUUGUAUUUUUGUUUUUUAUUAUUAAGAUGAUCGUUUUGAAUUUUUGCACUGGUAUUAAUAAAUAAAAUAAUCCGGUCAGCUCCCCUGUCGUCCCCGCAUCUCAGAUCGUCAAAUGCUGACGAGAAAUAAUUGUUUGCUUUAUGAUUUCGCCUUUCUACUCUCAUUAGUCUGUUAAGAAAAAUGUAGACAUAUUGCGACAUCUCCCGUGUCCGCGCGCUUUGUUUUUGGGGCGCUUGAGUAGCACAUGAUGGACGGAUUGACAUAAUUUGUCAAACCAACCGACACCCUCUGACACGGAAAAAAAAAAAAAAAAAAAAAACACUCGGAAAAAAUUGACAUGUAUAUACAGUUUCAUUGCAAAUCAGUAUUAUGGUGAUCAUACUAAAUAUUAUUUUUUUUCUGUGCACAUAUGAGGUACAUAUCGCUGCCAUGAAGCCUCCAUAUAGUGACAGUUCUCUGCCCGCUUCACUGCCGUCACGCGACCGCAGCUCAGGUUUUGCUUGCCUCGUAGCUACGCGUGUUUUAAAUUACUGUAAAUUUGAUAGUAUAUCGUCAUAGGCACAGUCCCGAGUCUGUUGAGAAAAGUAGAACACUAAACCAUGCUCGCUAGAUUUGUGUGGUGUUUUUGUCUUUUUGAGCAGCAUUUGAUAGGCUCCACGUUAACAAAUAUGUGACAAAGUCGUUUCCUUUCAUUUUAUGACUCGUUCACCGCAUAGUCAUUACUGGAAAGUCAAGUUAGCAGCAAGCUAGGUCAGGAACCGGAGGACCGAAUCACUGAACGGGAAGUGACAAAACUCAGUCUUUCCCCCCUGCCUGCACGCUGGCUGCUUAUUGGCCACACGUGGAAAUGAGUGACAUACGCCAUGAUUCUGUUUCCGCUCCCUCCCCUGCCCGCGAUGAGGCUGGCGUCUGAUUGGUCGUGUGCGAUGUCAGAAGACGCUGCCGCUUGCUCAACGCCCUCCCACGCAGCGAACAAGCGCCACCAACUUCAUAGAACGAAUCAGUGCAGAUGGUGAUUAGUUCGGUCUCGUUCACCCAAACAAUUCGUUCAAAAAGAACGAAUCGUUCGCGACCGAUACAACACUACUAUGGCUGCAGUCAGGUAUUAUUGGAGCCACCUAGCAUCGCGGUUGCAGCGGCGUCUCCCCAACUCCUGCUCUGCUCUCGUCCCCGGGUGGCCUGCGGGGCUGGAAAAGCCCCGGAGUCAUUGAAAGACCACUUCAUGGACGAUGUUCGAAGACAUCCAGCUGGCAACACAAGUACCUUUACGUUGGUGGGAAAAAAACAGCUUUUGAUGUUGUUUUGGACAAAAUUCAUAUAAUAAACAAUAACCUAAGCCCUUAAUUAGCUUUAGGUAAAAUAAUUAACAGUGUAUAACAGUGUAGUGAUUUUAAUGCAAACAGGUCAUUGAUACAAUAAACUAUGUCACGAGUAAACUAUUAGAGAACUGUAACCUGAUCAAAGUACACAUGUGGGACUUUUAAUUCAAAUUUUCUAAAUAUUCGCACUGUAAAAAUCCAUAGUUUUGAGUUUUAUGAGUAGACUGAGAUGUUCAUAUUUACCAAUCUUGGCCAGAAUUUAUACAGAAUCGUGGAUUUACAGUACCACAAAAAAAGAGAACUGUAACCUGUACCAGAUCGAAGUUCACAUGUAGGACAUUUAAUUCAUUUUACUAAAUAUUGGUCCACUAAACAUUCAGCUUUGAGUUUGUGAGCAGUGAGAUAGGUCCACUACUAAAGUUCACCAACCCAGGCCAGAAGGUAUUCAAAAUUGUGGAUUUACAGUACCACAGAAAUGAGAACUGUACACUGAUCAAAGUAUACAUGUAGGACUUUUAAUUAAUUUUUCUAAAUAUUCGUACAGCAAUCAUGCAUAGUUUUGAGCAUGGAAGUAGUUAGAGAGGUCUACUACUAAUAUCCACCAACCUUGGCCAGUAUUUAUUCAGAUGUGUGGAUUUACAGUGCCACAAAAUAAUGAGAACUGUAACCUAACAUCUACUAAAAUGACCCUUUGCUAAAGGGAAUCUAAUAUUGUACUGAUGUGACAGCGCUCAUAAUGCACAUGUAAAUGGAGCAGUUUUAAGAUCAGGCGACUUUAUUUCGUUUAUGAAAUGGUGUUAUAUAUUCAGAGUUAUAUAUUUUAGAUUGUUGAGUAAUUUAAUCGAACGUCCUCGUCCAGUCUCACUCCGUUAUUUUGUACUAAUUGCUGGCUUUUAAUACUAGAUAUGGGAAGACCACAGAGCUACACAUUCCAGUCGUUGAAACGAGACUUGGCAAAUCGGUUAAAAAGUCAUUAUAGGACAACUCUACUCCAGGGUUUUUCCUAAGAUUUUUUUGAAGUUAUGGUGGUGGUGGUGGGCCGCAUCAGAGUCGGACAGCCCCACCAUGUCGUGCCGCAGAAAAUUGUUUCAUAUCAUGACAAAUGAGAAUUUUUUUUGAACAACUUAAUUUUUUUCCAAAAAGAACCAUAACAAAGAUAUAUUUGCAAAGUUUGCAUUCUGCCUGUGAACACUUGAUUUUCCUGGAUGAAAAAAAAAACAAAAAACAAUUUGAGGGCUCUUUCUACAUCAAAUUAUAUAAUAAAUAGAAGGAUUUAUAGUAGUGCUUUGUCGUAGCUCACAGCUAAGGUACAUGUACGUAGAGUGCGUAGCGGCUUACAGCUACAUUACCCUUACGUAAUAAUACAACUUUUUUUCUUGUUACAAUAGUACGACUUUAAUCUCGUAGUCCUUCUUUUUUUUUUUCUUUAUUUGGCCCGAAUACUCCGUCGCACAAUACCACCACUAAAAUAAUAGUCCUUCUGUUAACGAACCCUCGCCUGUUGACAACUUUAAUCUUUCCAAAAUACUCAUCUGAAAUUAUAACCAGUUAUGUCCCCAACGAACAAAUGCUAUGCUACGACACAAUGAUUCGGAUCAAUGACAUCGUUACAUCAAUGUCAAUAUUAGUGUCAUUUUGACAGGCUUAAAACAGAAUUACAUUCAUUAACUUGAAAUACUGUUCUGUGGAUUUUUCUCCCGAUUUCCAACUCUGCGCGGAGAUAGUCAGGCACAAGCUUGCAACAGGAGAACCGAUGUGAUUUUCAAAAUAAAGCGUUUAAUGAAAAAAUUUGUAUUUGACGUGCUAUUUCAGAUGACUUCAGGCAAAAUAGUGUGUAAAAAAUGAGCUAUAUAUUUUUCAUUAUUCAUUUAGACGUCAUGUUAAAUUAUAAAAAUUAUGAAUGAUUAAUUAGAUUGUAUCUUUAGAUAUUAAUUGGAAAAAAAAAAGUCAUUUGCAAGGCAUGGUGACUUUUAUUUUAGAGUGGCGAAGUGCCACAAUCUUUUAUGUGUAGGGGAAACCCAGUACUCAAAACAUAAUUAAUUACAUGAAAAUGUUUUAAGAUAACUACAGAUCUAAAGCUGUUUUCAUUAUUUUAUUUGAAUGAAUGUAAAAUUUACUAGACGAAACACUCCCAGCAUCAUAUAUUUUUCAUUCAGACAUCUCUCUUGUUAAUCUUGCUGAUAUAACUCAGUUUGCUUUGGUGAUUCUUGUUAGUCAUACAAAAUUUAAGAAAUACAGGAGCAGGCUAUUCUAUCCGACGAAAUGUUCAUGGAAAAUGGUUAAAAGGCCACGUGGACAGUACUCCACAGGCGGCAUGUUGCUCACAGAACAUCAGCUGAACGUGAGCUUGUUUAUAAGACUGUCCGUGCAGAGUGGCAGUUGACAACAGGCAGCAGACUGGAUGUGAAAGCAUCUCUUCCAUUCAGAAUUCCAAUUACAUGCUUGAAUCUCUUUUAUGAAAGGAGAAAAAAAUAAGAUCGUUUCAACAGAGACCCCAUAUGAAUAAACCCCAUCAUGGCUUUCACACUCAGGGGGCUCAGGGGGGGUGACACUGAUAUCGCAUAUUCCUCUCCACCCCCGCUAAUUUGCAUAUUUACAGUCUGCCAUGCUAAUCAAGUUUAUUGGGGGAUAUAAGGACUGUGCAUGAGCUCAAUCGAGAAGGACAGAAUUUGUACCAGCCUCUAUUAGAUGCACAAGGAAGAUAAUUCCACACAACCACUGCCACCCAACACAGACAUACACACACGCACACCCCUCUUUGAAAAGGAAUGGUUUCUCCUUUGCUAAUCCAAUUUCAAAAGACAAAAAGAGCCAUCUUAUGUAACUAGGACAGCUUCUUCUAAUUAUAGUGUUAAUGCACUGUGAAGAAUUCCCCUGAUUUGGAACACAGACCAAGAUUUUGGAGAUAUUUUUGUUUUCCUAGUUGUGGGCUGUUUGAGCAAGUGCAACCAGAGUAUCACAUUCAUACAAAGAACAGGUUCAAUGCACUUUUGUCUGUUUUAAAACACUCAUUGACUGGCUUUAUCGCAAAAAAAGAAAAAAAAAUGGAGGACGAACUAAGCAGCAUGAAACAAAUGGCAUAGGCAUUAAGACCCGUUGUGAUAAAUGAGAUCUGAUUAACUGAUUAAUGGAGGUAUUAAGUUAUUCGCUGCCAGAGGUUCUAUACUGGCAGCUAUUAUUGAGCAUUUUGACAGACUUUUUAAUAAAAUGCUGUGUUCUAAGAUUACAUACAGUAUUGGCACCCCUGCAAUUCUGUCAGAUAAUGCUCAAUUUCUCCCAGAAAAUGAUUGGAAUUAAAAUGCUUUGGUAGUAAUAUCUUAAUUUAUUUUGCUUGCAAUUAAAAAACAUAAACAAUGGGGGAAAAAAAAGAUUAUCAUUUUACACAAAACUCCAAAAAUAGGCCAGACAAAAGUAUUGGCACCCUUUGAAAAUUAUGUGAUCCUUCUCAACUUUGUGUAAUUAACAGCACCUGUUACUUACCUGUGGCACAUACAGUGGGGCAAAUAAGUAUUUAGUCAACGACCAAUUAUGCAAGUUCUCCUACUUAAAAAAAAAAUUGAGAGGCCUGCAAUUGUCAACAUGGGUAAACCUCAACCAUGAGAGACAGAAUGUGGGGAAAAAAAGAGAAAAUCACAUUGUUUGAUUUUUAAAGAAUUUAGUUCCAAAAUAAAGUGGAAAAUAAGUAUUUGGUCACCUACAAACAAGCAAGAUUUAUGGCUGUCAAAGAGGUCUUACUUCUUCUAACGAGGUCUAACGAGGCUCCACUCGUUACCUAUAUUAAUGGCACCUGUUUUACAUCAUUAUCGGUAUAAAAGACACCUGUCCACAAACUCAGUCAGUCACAGUCCAAACUCCACUAUGGUCAUGACCAAAGAGCUGUCGAAAGACACCAGAGACAAAAUUGUAGAUCUGCACCAGGCUGGGAAGACAAUCUGCAAUAGGUAAAACGCUUGGCGUCAAGAAAUCAACUGUUGGAGCAAUUAUUAGAAAAUGGAAGACAUACAAGACCACUGAUAAUCUCCCUCAAUCUGGGGCUCUAUGCAAGAUCUCACCCCGUGGCGUCAAAAUGAUAACAAGAGCAAUGAGCAAAAAUCCCAGAACCACACGGGGGGACCUAGUGAAUGACCUACAGAGAGCUGGGACCACAGUAACAAAGGCUACUAUCAGUAACACAAUGCGCCGCCAGGGACUCAAAUCCUGCACUGCCAGACGUGUCCCCCUGCUGAAGCCAGUACACGUCCAGGCCCGUCUGCGGUUCGCUAGAGAGCAUUUGGAUGAACCAGAAGAGGACUGGGAGAAUGUGUUAUGGUCAGAUGAAACCAAAGUACAGCUUUUUGCUAGUAACACAGGUUCAUGUGUUUGGAGGAGAAAGAAUACUGAAUUGCAUCCGAAGAACACCAUACCCACUGUGAAGCAUGGGGGUGGAAAUCAUGCUCUGUGGCUGUUUUUCUGCAAAGGGACCAGGACGACUGAUCUGUGUAAAGGAAGGAAUGAAUGGGGCCAUGUAUCGAGAGAUUUUGAGUGAAAAUCUCCUUCCAUCAGCAAGGACAUUGAAGAUGAGAUGUGGCUGGGUCUUUCAGCAUGACAAUGAUCCCAAACACACAGCCAGGGCAACAAAGGAGUGGCUUCAUGAGAAGCAUUUCUAAGUCCUGGAGUGGCCCAGCCAGUCUCCACAUCUCAACCCUAUAGAAAAUCUGAAGAGGGAGUUGAAAGUCCGUGUUGCCCAAUGACAGCCCCAAAACAUCACUGCUCUUGAGGAGAUCUGCAUGGAGGAAUGGGCCAAAAUACCAGUAACAGUGUGUGAAAAGCUUGUGAAGAGUUACAGAAAAUGUUUGGCCUCCGUUAUUGCCAACAAAGGGUACAUAACAAAGUAUUGAGAUGAACUUUUGGUAUUGACCACAUACUUAUUUUCCACCAUGAUUUGCAAAUAAAUUCUUUAAAAAUCAAACAAUGUGAUAUUCUGGAUUUUUUCCCCCUUAUUCUGUCUCUCAUGGUUGAGGUAUACCCAUAUUGACAAUUACAGGCCUCUCUAACAUUUUCAAGUGGGAGAACUUGAACAAUUGGUCGCUGACUAAAUAAUUAUUUGCCCUACUGUAACAGGUGGUGGCAAUAACUAAAUCACACUUGCAGCCAGUUCAAAUUGAUUAAAAUUGACUCAACUAAUGUCCUGUGUACCACAUUGAGCAUGGAGAAAAGAAAGAAGACCAAAGACCUCCCUGAGGACUUGAGAAGCAAAAUUGUGAGGAAGCAUGGGCAAUCUCAAGGUUACAAGUUUCCAUCUCCAAAGACCUAAAUGUUCCCGUUUCUACCGUGCGCAGCAUCAUCAAUUCGUAUAAAGCUUAUGGCACUGUGGCUAAUCUCCCUAGAUGUGGACGGAAAGGAAAAAUUGAUGAGAGGUUUCAACGAAAGAUUGUGCGGAUGGUGGAUAAAGAACAUCGACUAAAAUCCAAACAAGUUCAAGCUAUUCUGCAGUCCGAUGUUACAACAGUGUCAACCCUUACUAUCCGUCGGCUUCUGAAUGAAAAGGGACUCUAUGGUAGCAUACCCAAGAAUACCCCACUUCUGGCCCACAAACAUACAAAAACCAGGUUGGAGUUUGCCAGAACUUACCUGAGAAAGCCAAAAACGUUUUGGAAGAAUGAUGUCUGGUCAGAUGAGACAAAAGUAGAGCUUUUGGGGGAAAGGCAUCAACAUAGAGUUCACAGGGAAAAAAACGAGGCCUUCAAAGAAAAGAACACGGUCCCCACAGUCAAACAUGGCGGAGGUUCCCUGAUGUUUUGGGGUUGCUUUGCUCCCUCAGAGGUCAUGGGUCUUCCAGCAGGACAAUGACGCAAAACACACUUCAAAAAGCACUAGAAAAUGGUUUGAAAGAAUGGACUGGAGGUUUCUAAAGUGGCCUGCAAUGAGACCAGACCUGAAUCCCAUAGAACACAUGUGGAGAGAUCUGAAAAUGGCAGUUUGGAGAAAGCACCCUUCAAAUCUCAGAGACCUGGAACAGUUGGCCAAAGAAAAAUGGUCUAAAAUUCCAGCAGAGCAUUGUAAGAAACUCGUAAUGGAUACCAGAAGCGGUUGUUCGCAGUUAUUUUGUCUAAAGGUUGUGCUACCAAGUAUUAGGCUGAGGGUGCCAAUAAUUUUGUCUAGCCCAUUUUUGGAGUUUUGUGCAAAAUAAUAAUUUUUAUUUUCUUUUUUCAUUCUCUUUGGUGUUUUUUCAUCGUAAGUAAAAUAAAUGAAGAUAUUACUACUAAAGCAUUUGUAAUUGCAAUCAUUUUCUGGUAGAAAUUGAGCAUUAUCUGACAGAAUUGCAGGGGUGCCAAUACUUUUGGCCAGCGAUGUACAUUACUUUCUUUCACCAGGAACAUAUGUUUGAGUUGACAUUUUUCAUACAUACAUUUUUCAGCAGUAGACAAUGGACAGGUUUUUCAAAAUAGAGCUGUUUCCCCAUAAAACUAGCAAAAUAUUUAUUGUUGCUGAUCAAUCACUGCCAGCCCUCUACCUUAAAAAGGAUUUAGCAUAUAUAUUAAAUAGCUACCACCAUUUAUGCAGUCAAAGUAGUAUCUCAUUUAUUACUGUAAGCUAUGGUUUGCAAUGGUCCUUUUCUCAUAGACCUCUUUGCCAGUCCUGUUGUGUACUAUGUAUGAGGUUCAAACUAUGGCGAAUAAGAGUCUAAGCCCACAUUCUACCACUGUCACAUUUGAGCUUCCACACAAAAGGCGCGCAGUUGUCGUCAGCCGCAAAGCGAGAAAGCGAGGGAGUCGUGUAAACCACAGCCGAGCUUUAAUUGCUGGUGUCAGGGCUGAGACACGGUCGAACAGGAAAUAAUCACGUUAAUGAAACAUUUUAAUUAUUCAACAUAAUUGUGGAAUGUGAUGAACGUGUCAGCGAAUCCCUUGUCUGGCUGUUAGCACAAGGUGUCCCCCUCCAAAACACACACACAUUCCAAAUAUCGUCUCUCUCUUUCACCAUUAAAAACAGCUGCUUUCCCUCAUCUGUAAUAUGCGCACAACAGGAGCGAGAUCAAUCUGAACCAUAUUUACUUGUACUUGUCCGCUCUGGGUCGCCGCUCAAUGCCACCCACCUAUGCCUUUAUGCCCACUGCCCUGAGCCCCUGCGGCCAUUCCGCACCUCACUGCAGGGCUUGCUGGUGUAUCGAUCCAAGAAUGAGCAGCAGAAUACAAGAGUGCAGGUCUUUCUGCAGGUUCUUUCUAUGAAUUUUCCCUUGCUCAGUUGCCAACUAAUAUGUAUCACAAGCUCACACACGCGCAUGGUGGCCCACAGCGCGCACCAGAUAAUUAAAGGCAUAUAAAACAAACACAAUGAUCAGCUCAUUACAACCCAUGAGACUCUGUCUUCCUGAUUUGGUCUUCCUUUUUUGCCUUCCGUGUCUUCCAAUCCUCAUCUUAGUAAUACUGAUGUACCUUCCUUCCCUCCUUCUUUCCUUCCUCCUUCCUUCUGUGCGUUCUUUGUUUCUUCCCUUUUUCGUUUCUUUCUUUCUUCUGUCAUUUUUUUUUACUUCCUUCCUUCCAUCCCUCCGUCCUUCCCUUCUUUCACUAGCCACUCACAUCUCUGCCAGUUGUCUGCAGCACUGCUAAUUCCCUCCUCUCAUUUGCAUGGUUAUCAAUGUGUUUGGACCAGCCAACAGAAGCAGUUGGAAGGUGGGGGUCGUUAAUAUGUUAAUUAGCCGCCUCCAUUUUCUCUUGUUCAAUUUUAGACAUGGGUGCACCAACCCGUAGCUUCCACCAGCUCGCUCAAUGUCUGUUAUGCACAAUAGAGAAAUGCUAGAUUUGAAGCUAAGUUUAUGUACACCUAGCUUAAAUGUUCUUCAAGUAUUCUUCCAAGUCUCAAUAAAACUCUUGGAAAGGCUUUUAUACAUUUGUAUAAAACCUAGUAAUUUCUGAGUAACUUCUCCAAGAAAAUACGUUUCUGAGAGUUACCGCUCUCAACUAUUCCAUGAACCAUCACCACUUGGAAUCGAACCUAUUUCACACACAUUCAUACACUAAAAGCUAAACCAACCUCCAGCCUGUUCUUCUGCUGUAAUUCGGAAUUGUGUUAAGUCUCCGCGGUCAAAAACUUGGAUGGUGAUAGUUUUUGCUGGCUGGCGUCAUCCCAAUAUGUUGCGCCCCAAACCCAAAAGGACCAAAUGUUAGAUUUGAAGCUAGGUUUGUGUAAACCUAGCUUGGCUACAAAGAACAUGCAGGAAGUUGAUGUAGCUUUUGUGGAGGUUGGUAGCUGCUCCCCCAGUUGCUGUGAUAGCAACCCUUUUUAUACAGGGUCAAACAAUAGGAUGGGAGGGGCAGGAAAGCAACAUAGAACAUAGAAUAGAAUAUAUAGACUACAUGGGGGCCACAUGGCCCAGGACUAAUGAAAGGCUGACAAGACAUAAGUUCUCCUAUUAGGUGACUAACUACAAUUAGUAAGGCAAAAAUUUUAACUGUAUGCAUAAUAAUUCUAACAAGAAUAUACAAAAUGCGGAAAGUAGUUUGGUUUUUCCAAUUGUAUUGAUUGUUGAAAUAUAUAUUUAUGACAAUAAAAUAUGAAAGAAACAGACUUGACUUUAAUGUUUAUUUAAUGCUAUUAAUGUUUUUAAAAAGGAUAUGGCUCAUUGUGUGCAUCUAGCAACAGUAUAGUAAGUAGGUAAGCACUCAAAAAUUCAUUACAAACAGCUGUCAGACCUAAAACAAUAUUUUAAGACUGCCUGGAGGGGGGAGAGGGGGGUUCUCUCGCUUUAUUCUUCUUGGUGAGGUCACCAAUAAAAAUUGCUACUACUCCAUUGAUUGGGCGCCCGUACUUCUUUUGAAUUGUAUUGUCUUACACUUUUUCUGACUAAUCUACUUUUUAGAAAAAUAAACUUUGUUCUAAUUGGCUACUAUUAGUUGAAAACAAGUGAUGUGGAAUGUGACUACAUUUUCCUGAUCAAAUUACUUUCAAGGAUUUACGAAAUAGUGAUUGUCGUACGGUACCAUCACACAUAAUAACACUAACUAAUAACAAUAUUAAACGUGUUGGUUCACCCAAUUAGUUUAAGGACUUGUUAUAGGGG